CAAUAGCGUAUAUUAAAGUUGUUGCGGUUAAAAAGCUCGUAGUUGGAUUUCUGCUGAGAACGACCGGUCCGCCCUUUGGGUGUGUAUCUGGCUCUUUCUUGGCAUCUUCUUGGUGAACGUUGCUGCACUUGACUGUGUGGAGCGCUACCCAGGACUUUUACUUUGAGGAAAUUAGAGUGUUUCAAGCAGGCAUACGCCUUGAAUACAUUAGCAUGGAAUAAUAAGAUAGGACCUCGGUUCUAUUUUGUUGGUUUCUAGAGCUGAGGUAAUGAUUAAUAGGGAUAGUUGGGGGCAUUCGUAUUUAACUGUCAGAGGUGAAAUUCUUGAAUUUGUUAAAGACGGACUACUGCGAAAGCAUUUGCCAAGGAUGUUUUCAUUGA
rnacentral:rRNA from 1 species